rnacentral:rRNA from 1 species
UACCGAGGUCCCAAGCGUUGUUCGGAUUCCCUGGGCGUAAAGGGUGCGUAGGCGGUCGGGUAAGUCUGACGUGAAAUCUUCAAGCUCAACUUGGAAACUGCGUCGGAUACUAUUCGGCUAGAGGAAUGGAGGGGAGACUGGAAUACUUGGUGUAGCAGUGAAAUGCGUAGAUAUCAAGUGGAACACCAGUGGCGAAGGCGAGUCUCUGGACAUUUCCUGACGCUGAGGCACGAAAGCCAGGGGAGCAAACGGG